GUGGUGCUGGUGUCCCUCCACUUCCCAAAAGAAUGAUGCCGGACUCAUUCUUGGUGCUGAAUGACAGGUUGAUUUCUGUUCCUACAUCAAUUGGCACAGGGGAGAGCUCCACAAAACCAGGCUUAGGAAAGCUAACUGUGUAAACAUUCUAGUGGGUGUCUAUGGCCAAUUCCAAAUUGGAGCCUGUAGCUAUGAACAAUGAAGAUCCUGAAAGUUCUGUUCCAGUCUUUAAACCUCAUCAUUCAAGUGGUGGAUUUACUUUUUUCUUUACCCACAUUUUCCCUUCAUUUCCCUAAUUCUAUUGGAGUGGUUUAAGAUAAUUUUGAUUAGAAGCAGCAGACAAAAUGAAUAAUUGUAUUAUGAUAGGAUAAUUAAAAAUGUAUGAGAAUGA
ensembl:lncRNA novel transcript